rnacentral:rRNA from 1 species
CCUACGGGUGGCAGCAGUGGGGAAUAUUGGACAAUGGGCGAAAGCCUGAUCCAGCCAUGCCGCGUGUGUGAAGAAGGCCUUCGGGUUGUAAAGCACUUUCAGUGGGGAAGAAAGCCUUGGGGCUAAUACCCUCGAGGAAGGACAUCACCCACAGAAGAAGCACCGGCUAACUCCGUGCCAGCAGCCGCGGUAAUACGGAGGGUGCGAGCGUUAAUCGGAAUUACUGGGCGUAAAGCGCGCGUAGGCGGUCUGAUAAGCCGGUUGUGAAAGCCCCGGGCUCAACCUGGGAACGGCAUCCGGAACUGUCAGGCUAGAGUGCAGGAGAGGAAGGUAGACUUCCCGGUGUAGCGGUGAAAUGCGUAGAGAUCGGGAGGAAUACCAGUGGCGAAGGCGGCCUUCUGGACUGACACUGACGCUGAGGUGCGAAAGCGUGGGUAGCAAACAGGAUUAGAUACCCCGGUAGUC